rnacentral:rRNA from 1 species
GGGCCCGCACAAGCAGCGGAGCGUGUUGCUUAAUUCGAUGCAACGCGAAGAACCUUACCAGGGUUUGACAUCCUGCGAAUUUCUGGGAAACCGGAAAGUGCCUUCGGGAGCGCAGUGACAGGUGGUGCAUGGCUGUCGUCAGCUCGUGUCGUGAGAUGUUGGGUUAAGUCCCGCAACGAGCGCAACCCACGUCUUUAGUUGCCAGCAUUUAGUUGGGCACUCUAGAGAGACCGCCGGUGAUAAACCGGAGGAAGGUGUGGAUGACGUCAAGUCAUCAUGCCCCUUACAUCCUGGGCUACACACGUACUACAAUGCUACGGACAAAGGGCAGCAAACUCGCGAGAGCUAGCAAAUCCCAUAAACCGUGGCUCAGUUCAGAUCGUAGGCUGCAACUCGCCUACGUGAAGGAGGAAUCGCUAGUAAUCG